rnacentral:lncRNA from 1 species
UUGCUGUACAGACUACCACCGGCUGGCUGGUUUGCUCUCACAAGACUGCAGAAGAGUCCUGAGACACUGAACACUGCUACCAGGUGAGUUAGAGAAGUUCGAUCUGCUGAUCCUUUGGCAAUGUGCUGUAACAUGAAAGUUUUCUCUGGCCUGGCUAGUUCCCGCUGCUCUUCUCUGCCCCAAAGAAACACGCAGAUGCUAUAUUAGUUAUAAACCUACUAGGUGGCUGUGGGGGACCGAAUAAUUCUGUUAUGGAAUAUUUUGGGGCCCAGUCUCUAGCUCCAGUAAACAUGGAGCACCUGAAAGCUCUGGCCCACUAUUGUAUUGUUAAUGCCGGUAAGGCUACUACUGUUUACUAUGGCCUCAGAGUAAUAUGCCUCUUAUUUGCAUCUGAAUGUGCCUAAGCAUCUGAAUAGGCCCUCACCUGGGCAGAGGAGCUAGAGGUGUGUGAGUAACUUGUGAGGAUGAAAGGUUAGGGUGAGGGGCGAGUGGCCAGAGCAGAGAGAGGACAAAGAAAAAUGGUUUCCUUGUGGAGUUGGCAGGAUGGUUAAGAAACACCAGAAAAGAUGACUAAUAAAGAAAUGAGUCUAGUUCCACAACAUGGAACUGAGAGCUCUCUGAAGAUGACAAGAUGCCUGUGUUUGAUCUUUAUCGACAUUGGGUUGCUGGGAGCUUCCAGGUCCACACACCCCCACUCAGGAAGAACCUCAUGGCUGUCGUGGGUUAAAGCUGAGACAAGCCGGGUCAUGACAGCUGGCAACUUGGGAUUCUUACUCUAACCAAUAGCUACUAAUCUAUGUAUUUCCAAGUGAUCUUGGCUUACCAGACCUGCAAUUACUUUGUCUGCUAUAUGAUGAUGGCUGGCUCAGCAUCUCCACAGAGUAGGGAAGAGAAGAGAAGAGAAGAGAAGAGAAGAGAAGAGAAGAGAAGAGAAGAGAAGAGAAGAGAAGAGAGCAAUUUCCUAUUUGUCCCUGAUUAUAUUUUGAUUCUGCUCAGCUAUUUCACUAACUGCCUGGCCAAUCAGCCUAUCAGUGUUUUAUUCAUUAACCAAUAAGAAGAACAUAUACACAGAAAAACUUCCCUCAUCAAUGUGCAUUUAGGCUUGGUACCUUUUCUCCAUUCUCUUGGGAUCCAAUACAUCUAAUAAUGUCACCAUCACUGAGACAACUAGCCACCCUGCUCUGGACCAACUGCUCUUACCACAACAAGCCCUACACAUUAGGGACCACUCAAGUGAGAAAAAUAAAAUCUAUCUUACAGGGUUAUGAUGUCUGAAUUUGCCACAUGCUCUCUGUGGUCUAUUUUUAGGUAAACACUUUCAAGACAAAGUAUUAAAAGAAAGCCACUCAAUAUGACUAUUUAUAAAUUACAUAAAAUGAGGUUUUACUUAGAAAGACACUUCUGAUGCAGACCACAUAUGAAGCAGCCACAGUUGGGACCUUCUUGUCUUGAUGUACAGGUGUGCUUCCCAACUGAGCUCCCUGAGAGAGGCUAUGCUUAAGGAGCUCCAGUUUAUGUUCAGCUUUUGCUAUCAUUUGAAGCACUGUGAGUCCAUUCCCAGAGUACACAGAAAUAUGUCACCAAAUCUUUUGUCUGUGAGGCUGAAAUGACAAGGCUGAUAGAGUUGGCUGAUUUCUGGAAGAUGAUACAGUAGAGACUACCCCUCUCAUCCUGAGUCCAAGUAGAAAUUUGGCCAAUAAGAAAAAUCAUCUCCCCACUAAGAAGCUGCUUGUACCACAAAAGGUGAUAUAAGUUCUGAUUUGUCUCAUAUGAAUGUUAGACCCCCAGAAAACUCAGGUAUCCGGGGUUUCAGGCCACGAUCACGGUCACCCCAAUCACCAGGCAGAUUCCAGAGCUUGCUGUAAACUGCAUGAGGCUUUAUAUUGUAAUUUAACAAGCUAACCCCAUGUUACUUAGGGUCUUUUGUCCACCCACCAUGGCGAUUGGCUACAAAAGACAGCUCCUAGGGGCUCCCGAGAGAUCUUGUAGGGCAGCAUAAGGGGAAUGUCUAGGGAUAUGAACAGGCUCAGAAUUGGUGUGCCCUCCAGGCUUGGAGGGCUUGCCCUGUGUUGAUUGGCCAACUGGUUGUUAUGGCCCGUAGGUCCUCCGAGGGUGGUUGCUAUGCUCUGUGCGUCAUUGCUGUGAGCUUGUCCGUAAAGCAUACCCAGGGUCGUAAAGCAUAGCACCACCAGCUAACAACUUCUGACUGGUUCCUUGUCACAAGGCAGGCACCUGACCUCUAAGUGACCAAGGCAAGGUUAUGACAAGCACAUGUUACUGUCAUGGCUGCCGAAAUGGGGAGCUGGUGCCUUCAUGAACAAUCCAGCUUGACCUCUUUCCCCUCCUGUGUGCUUGCAGUUGAUUGGACCUGAGUCACUUUCUGGCCCAAACUGGAUCCUGU